GACGAACGCUGGCGGCGUGCCUAAUACAUGCAAGUAGAACGCAGUUGCGAACGGGGGAGUAAAGCGUAGGUAACUGCCUCAUAGCGGGGGAUAACUAUUGGAAACGAUAGCUAAUACCGCAUACUGUGGGAUGGAUCUGCGUUGUAUUAGCUAGUUGGUGAGGUAAAGGCUCACCAAGGCGACGAUACAUAGCCGGGCUGAGAGGGUGACCGGCCACACUGGGACUUAGACACGGCUCAGAAUCCUACGGGAGGCAGCAGUAGGGAAUCUUCGGACAUGGGCGGAAGUCUGACUGAGCAACGCCGGGUGAGUGAAGAAGGGUUUCGGAUCGUAAAGCUCUGUUGUUAGAGAAGCGGUACCUAACCAGAAAGCGACGGCUAACUACGUGCCAGCAGCCGCGGUAAUAC
rnacentral:rRNA from 1 species